CCUACGGGAGGCAGCAGUGGGGAAUCUUCCGCAAUGGGCGAAAGCCUGACGGAGCAACGCCGCGUGAGUGAAGACGGCCUUCGGGUUGUAAAGCUCUGUUAUACGGGACGAAAAAUCUUGUGGUUAAUACCCAUAAGAAGUGACGGUACCGUAAGAGAAAGCCACGGCUAACUACGUGCCAGCAGCCGCGGUAAUACGUAGGUGGCAAGCGUUGUCCGGAAUUAUUGGGCGUAAAGGGCGCGCAGGCGGCUUCUUAAGUCUGUCUUAAAAGUGCGGGGCUUAACCCCGUGAUGGGAUGGAAACUGGGAAGCUCAGAGUAUCGGAGAGGAAAGCGGAAUUCCUAGUGUAGCGGUGAAAUGCGUAGAUAUUAGGAGGAACACCAGUGGCGAAAGCGGCUUUCUGGACGAAAACUGACGCUGAGGCGCGAAAGCCAGGGGAGCGAACGGGAUUAGAUACCCGGGUAGUC
rnacentral:rRNA from 1 species